GGUUUGUAGCUUAGUGGAAGAGUGCUUGCCUAGCAUGUGUGAGGCACUGGGUUCAAUUCUCAGCACCA
rnacentral:tRNA from 1 species